rnacentral:lncRNA from 1 species
AUCCAUUUUCACUUCCAUUUUCUUUCUUUUUCAUCCAUUUUCAUGCCCAAAUCAACCAUUCAAACUAAUACCCAUGCAUUUCAUCUUCAUUAAACCCUUCUCCAUCAUGAUUUCUUCACUUGUUCUUCAUCAUUUCAUCCUUAUUGCAUUCACGCGUGAAUAGUGUUCUCCAUUUUCUUUCUCAAAUCUCUUCAUCUUUCACUCAUUUUCU